UACAGGGGUCUCAAGCGUUAAUCGGAAUCACUGGGCUUAAAGGGUACGUAGGCGGUAUAUGUAAUCAUAUUAUUAAUCACAUGUGUGUGGAUUUGAUAUUUAUAUACUAGAGUUUGAAGGGAGUAACAGACACAACAAGAGUAGUGUAGUAAUACUAGUAUACUUGAGGGGUCUCAUAGCGGCGAAGGCGUGUUACUAUGUAAGACUGACGCUGAGGUACGAAGGCAUGGGUAUCGAUUGGG
rnacentral:rRNA from 1 species